CAUCAGAUGACUGAAAGCAAGA
rnacentral:tRNA from 1 species